rnacentral:rRNA from 1 species
UACGGAGGGGGCGAGCGUUGUCCGAAGUUACUGGGCGUAAAGCGCGCGUAGGCGGGUUGGCAAGUCCGCUGUGAAAGCCCGGGGCUCAACUCCGGUUGGUCGGUGGAUACUGCCAGUCUUGAAGGUGCUAGGGAGAGAUGGAAUUACCGGUGUAGCGGUGAAAUGCGUAGAUAUCGGUAGGAACACCAGUGGCGAAGGCGGUCUCUUGGGGCAUUCUUGACGCUGAGGCGCGAAAGCUGGGGGGAGCGAACGGG